CCCUUAGACGUUCUGGGCCGCACGCGCGCUACACUGACCAGUGCAACAAGCAUCCGUCCUUGGCCGACAGGCUCGGGCAAUCUUUGAACGCUGGUCGUGAUGGGGAUAGACUUUUGCAAUUUUUGGUCUUCAACGAGGAAUUCCUAGUAAACGCAAGUCAUCAACUUGCAUUGAUUACGUCCCUGCCCUUUGUACACACCGCCCGUCGCACCUACCGAUUGAAUGGUCCGGUGAAGCCUCCGGAUUGGCGCGCACCUCGGUGCCGCCGAGAAGUUGGCUAAACCUUACCAUUUAGAGGAAGGUGAAGUCAUAACA
rnacentral:rRNA from 1 species